rnacentral:rRNA from 1 species
UAUGGGUAGCAAACAGGAUUAGGUACCCUGGUAGUCCAUACUAUAAACAAUGAAUAUUAAAUAUUAAUAAAUAUUUUCAAUUAAUAUAAAAAGUUAACACGUUAAAUAUUUCGCCUGGGGAGUAAAACCGCAAGGUUGAAACUCAAAGGAAUUGACGGGAGCUUAUACGUACGGUGGAGCAUGUGGUUUAAUCCGAUAGUCCGCGUGGAAUCUUACCAAUUUUUGACAGUUUAUAAUUUUUUUUAUUAUAAAACAGGUGUUGCAUGGUCGUCGUCAGCUUUUAUUUUGAAGUUAAGAUAUAAGUUUAACCCUUGCUUUAAGUUGCUAUUAUUUAAAAGUAUUAAAGGUUUUUAAUUAUUAAAUAAGUACUCUUAAAUUUGAAUGAAUUAAUAAAAAAGAUGCAAAGGAUGAAGAUAGAUCGUUAUGACCCUUAUAAAUU